rnacentral:rRNA from 1 species
GAUGAACGCUGGCGGCGUGCCUAAUACAUGCAAGUCGAGCGAACAGACGAGGAGCUUGCUCCUCUGACGUUAGCGGCGGACGGGUGAGUAACACGUGGAUUACCUACCUAUAAGACUGGGAUAACUUCGGGAAACCGGAGCUAAUACCGGAUAAUAUAUUGAACCGCAUGGUUCAAUAGUGAGAGACGGUUUUGCUGUCACUUAUAGGUGGAUCCGCGCCGCAUUAGCUAGUUGGUAAGGUAACGGCUUACCAAGGCGACGAUGCGUAGCCGACCUGAGAGGGUGAUCGGCCACACUGGAACUGAGACACGGUCCAGACUCCUACGGGAGGCAGCAGUAGGGAAUCUUCCGCAAUGGGCGAAAGCCUGACGGAGCAACGCCGCGUGAGUGAUGAAGGUCUUCGGAUCGUAAAACUCUGUUAUUAGGGAAGAACAAAUGUGUAAGUAACUAUGCACGUCUUGACGGUACCUAAUCAGAAAGCCACGGCUAACUACGUG